ensembl:lncRNA
CUCUGUCUUCAUUAGAGGAUCUGCUGGCACAGGAAACAGAGGGAAUGUCUGACAGAGGACCAAGCGGAGAGUAUUACCGCCGCGAUGAUGGCCACAGAGACGAUCUCCAAGGAGGCGGUCGCCACAUAGACGAUGGCUACGGAGGGCCUCGCCAACAAGACGAUACCUACAGAGGGAGUCAGCGCACGGACGACAGUAGCUACUGUGCAGUACAGUGCGAGCGUCACGACGACUGCACGAUGAUCGCCAGCCAUAGCAGCUGGUGGUCAUGGUGUACAGUUUUGUAACGUGCCAGCUGUUCUCGCUGACACUGCAGGAUCAUGUUUACUGUAAAAGACGUCACCAAUAAACUAUAAACAACCAAUCAGGCGUCUCCUCUUCUUCUGUCACACCAGCUGACUUCAUGUCCUCCCAGCACAUCUAUGUCUCCUCUUUGACCUCUUGCCUGGCAGCUGUCCCUCCUCUGCACACGUCCAAACCCUUAAACCUGCGUCUCCUCUACCUCCAUCCUCACCUGAGAAAUGACUAACGUCCUCCUUGCUGUUGUUGUAAUGAACGUUCUGAGGUCUUCAUGACACACUGUGAUGAGUCCACGCUCACACUCUGCUGCCAGCCUCUUCUUCUUCUUCUGUCUGACCUCAGGCGACCUGCAGAGACGGACAGAGUCAGUGCUGAUGUCCACACUCAUGUGACUGCACUUUCUUUUGGUGUUUGAUGUUCUUCUGACACAUCUGUGAGAUGAGCAGCAUGGAUGUUUGUGUUGUUUGGGAAUGUUUCACAGUCAACGCCUCUUCCACUGAACAGUGCGGACGUGCCAGAGUAUUUAAAGGAAGAGCAUCAGCAUCAUUCUGACAGAAGGCACAGCUGUGGACUGCUGCUCCGGUCAGUCCUGAUUCAUUAAAGGAUCGUCUGACACUGAGGCCAGCGCCGGCAGCCAUGUUCAGCAACGUUCCAGGCACCCACCCCUCAGGCUACAACCUGGGCCCCCAGCCAGGGGACCAGGGGCCUCAUGGGGGCCCCAAGCCAGAUGGAAAACACGGAGAAGAAGCUCGCCCUGGAGGGGACCGCCGUCGAGAUGGCGACCACCAACGUGAUGACCACAAAGAUGAUCGCCACAGAGACGAUCCCCGCCACGGUGAGGACCACCAAGAUGGCCGCCACGGAGGGGAUCGCCAUGGUGACCACAGCCCUCGUCACCAUCGCCGCAGGAGUGGCGGUGGAAGUCCCGAUCGGGACAACAGCGGAGGGAGUGGAGACAGCGGGAGUGGCAGCGAAGGUGAAGACGACGGCCACCGCAAAAAACAUGGCCACAAACACAAACAUGGCCACCACGGGCACGGCGGGCACGGCGGGCACGGCCAUGGACACGGGCGCGGGCGUGGACGUGGAGGAGGACACUGCUAGGAAG